rnacentral:tRNA from 1 species
GGCGGCGUGGUGGAAUUGGCAUACACACCAGUCUUUAAAACUGGCACCUGUCCGGGUUUGUGGGUUCGAACCCCACCGCCGCCA